rnacentral:tRNA from 1 species
ACUAGAUUAGCGGGCCUCAAUCCCACGAAUAUUUGGUUAACAACCAAACGCCCAACCCAGCGGGCUUUAAUCUA